rnacentral:lncRNA from 1 species
UUUUUUUUUUUUUAAAUUUUGGGAGGACACUGGAAGACUGAAUGGGAGGAUGCCUCCAACUUGCAAGGGGCAGCCAAGAAUGACCAGAGGAAGAGAAUUUGUAUGUUUACCAAGAACCUCUUUGCUUGGCUCAAAACAUCCCAGGCUCCCACCUCAAACCUCCUCUCUUGUUAACAAAAAAAUGAAAACAAGCCCUUGUCUAGGGUACUGUGGCUUUCGCAAGUUGCUAGGAUAUCAAUAUAUUUACCCACAACUGCAGACGUUUGGCUCAAGAAUAGCCCACUCAGUCCUCACAUGAGGCGAGAUCAUGAGGAUUCAAUCUACAUGAGGUCCUCAGGGGGCUUUGAAAUCAGCCAGGGAGUUGAUAAUUGUUUGGAGAUACGGCAGCUGAAGUUUUUCUCCAGGUUUUGCUGUAAUAAGCUUUUUCUUGUUGUUGAGUUGCUCUGGCUUCCUUGGGGGUUUCAAAUUCAGUGGUGAUUUGCACCUGCUUUUUUUUGAACCUUACAAAACUUAUGAGAGAGAAAAGGGAGUCCUAUUUUUCUACUCCUCAGACUCUGGGCAUCCCACUUGGGGCUGCUCUUGGUUUAGAUGCUCUUGGGGGAAACAGGACAUUUGGGUUUGGGGCCUUUUAGGUGCACAUGUAGGAAGUGUGUCCUAGAGCCGUUUGAAAUCCUGGUCUGAGUGCCAAAUCCUAGAAGAUGACUAACUCUGCAGUGAUUUCAGGGCGAGGGUGGGAACGACAGACUCUGUCAAAUCGCAGGGCACGGGGCUAACUCAAGACCUAUACCAGGGCCAAGCGCUUAGCUUUCACCUGCCUCAAAGGCAAACCAAUUUGAUCGCAGCAAGGGAAAGCAAAAUGGACUCACUCUCUAAUUUUAACAACUCUUCCAAAUUAAUACAUUCUGUAAACAAACAAACAAAAACACCAAGAUUCUGCCAUCUUAAUUCUGGCUUUUUCUAAAACAGCUGCAACCUUUUGGCAUCACCAUCACCCAGUAUUUUUUGAGGUCCUUUUCAUGGAGACCUCUGGGCUACAAAGACCAGCAAUGGAUCCUACUUAUCAUAGUUGGAUGCUAAUUCACAAACGUGCCCUAUGCCACAUUCCCAUAGAGACUGGGGGAAAAGAGUCUUCUCUUUGGCUGAAGUUAUUCCUUCAACCAGCAAGUCAUCUAGUUAUUGGCAGCAAGGGCAGCUUAAUAUCAACACUUCUAAAAUUCUAUUUUGAGCUGAUGACUACAGAGAUGUAAUUGUCUCACAGACCAUAAGCCUUAGAUUGGCUCAAUUUUUAUGGUAAUUUUAGUGACAUAAUUUGCAACUACUUCAACCUAAAAAUUUCAUUGACAAGUUAUGUUGCUCAAAACUGCGUGUUCCAGAGUCUAUUAUUAAAAUCUUUUCUGCAGUUCUAGUAGACAACUGGCAACCCCUGCUUUAAACAGUGUUCAAGUUUAAAUCCUUCUGGCCAUGUUCAAUAGCAUGUUUUAGCUUUUCCCAGAGCGUCCUUUGCCAAACACAGUUCCACAAGAAGAUCAUUUGUGUGGGAGUUCUCAAGUUUACUUCUGUGAUUGGUUCUGACCAUGGAGCUGCACAGAAUCAAAUGGCUACUUCACUGAUAGAAAUCAUGAGGAUCCUGGAGUUCUCUUGUGGUGCAGUGGGUUAAAGAUCCAGCGCUGUCACUGUAGCAGCUUGGGUCACUGCUGUGGCAGGGGUUUGAUCCCUGGCCUGGGAACCUCCACUUGCCACAGGUUAGGCAAGAGAAAGAAAGAAAGGGAGAGAGAGUGAAAGGAAGGAAGAAAGAAAGAGAGAAAGAAAGAAAGAAAUUAUGAGGGUCCUCAUAGUCUUCAGAUUUAUGUUCCUGGGACACCCCAAUUUUGACAUUUAUAAUAACUUUAUUUUUUGAACCUUCCUGAUUUUUGUUUUAUAUUUGGAUUUUAACAUUAAAAACAUUUAUCAUAAGGAAGCAAAUUUAUGACACUCUUAACAUCACCAUGGGCUCCUCCAUCCUCUUUCCACUAUCGAAGCCCGAAUGAGCCUUUUUAUGUUUCACUGAUGGUUGAAUUUAAGACAUAAUAACUGACCUCAAAACAGUCACAGAGAAAGGGCAAGUAGAAGACAUUUCCUGUGCUUCUGCUUUCCCAUGAGGAAAUUGGGGAAAUAAAAUAUGCUCACAGAAACUCAGGUCCAGUGUAAACAUGCUUUGUCCAUUCACAUGCUAUAGAAAUGUCUAUUGAUUGUACAAAUAUAAAUAACAUGACAGGUCCACAGGGCAAAUCCCACAUUCUACACAAUUGGUCCUCUGCCUACUUUCCUGCUAUCACUUCCCUAUAGGAACCCUCUCUUCCAGCCCAGCUGGUGUCUUCUGUUGGUAAACGUAUAUUCUCUAUCACAACCUCUGUCCGCCUCUGCCUUUUGUAGGAAGAUUUCCCCUCAGCCAUCGACCUCAGGAUUCUCUGCCUCCUUUAUAUUUAUUCACUCAUUUAGUCACUUAUUCUAUUAUACAUAUAAUAUACAAAUCCACACCCAUAUCCAGCAUCCAACAUUCACAACCACAUCCAAUUAGCUACAUCCACAUUCAUUAUCCACAUUCACAUCCAAUACCUAGUCCACAUCCAACAUCCACAGCCACAUGCAACAUCUAUACCUGUAUCUACAUCCAAUAUCAACAUCCAUAUUCAACCUCCACAUCCACACCCAACAUCUAUACUCACAUCCAACCUUUAUAUCGACAUCUGUAUCUAUAUCUAUUCUAUCAUCUUUACAUCAUUGCCCAAAUACUAUCACUUGUUUUUAGGUCUUAUCAUUUGCCUGGUUUUGACUUGGUUUAUUUUUAUUUAAAAAAUUUUUGUGUUUAUUUUUAAAGUGGAUGUCUUUCCUCCUCUAUUAGACCAUGAGCUCCCUAGAGCUAGCAAUAUGAUUUACUGAUUUUUGCAUCUUAUACUGACACGCAAUAGGUCCUCGAGGUAUAGAUGAGGUUUUGGGAAAAAAAAACAGCACCCAUCAAGCACACCUCCUGCGUCGUCGUUCUGGGCAGUUCAAUCACACCACCUCAUUUAAUCCUCGUGACCUUCUGACCUUGUCUCCUCCGCUGUGCUCCAGCCACACUGCUCUGUUUUUAAUGGCUUCAGGAUACAGGUUUGUUCCAUCUCUGAAUUUUGCUCUGGCUGUUCAUCUGCCUGGAACAUUUUCCCCCCAGAUCUGUCCAUGAUGUGCUCUUUCUUUCCAUUCUUAUUUAAGCUCAAAAGUCACCUACUCUGAGAGUCUCACCCUGACCAUCUUAGGUAAUUCUAUAUAUUCCAGCAUCCUCUUUCAUCCUACCCACAGCACUUAUCAACAACUGAAAUUAGCUUAUUGGUUUGUUUAUUUAUUUACUUGUUUACUAAUUAUCUCUUCCUGCACCUUCCCCAACUAAAAUAUAAGUUCCAUGUGGGCCAGGGUGAGCCUGUCUUGUUUAUGGCUAUAUUUACAGCUUAGAAUAAUGUCAGACACAUAGUGAGUACUCAAUUAUCAUCCAAUGAGAAAAUAACCUUGAGUGGAUACCAAUUUUGGAGAUGUGGAAACAGAGGCUUAUGGAUGUGUUGUGACAUGCCUCCGCUUGGCAACCUGGAGUCGGCCAAUCUGAGACCCGCAGCCCUCCUCAAAACCCAGGUCUCUCAUGUUAACAGGAAACUGCUGCUCCACGGGCAAAGGUGGAUAUACUAAUGCAAAUGUGAUGCUGCUUCUAGUUCGAUCAGAUCAUCUGAUAUUUCUUGUGUUCUUGUCUAUUUUGAUAUCACAGAUAAGCAGGCAUGUGGGUCUCUAAUUUCAUAAAGUGUUAUCCACCAUGUAACAUAACAAGGAUGGUUUCUUGUUUGCUAAUAUGCUGAGGUCUUUGUAUAUGCUAAUCUCACUUAAUUCCCAUAACAACCCUAGGAGAAGGGUAAAUUUCCAUUUUACAUAUGAGGAAAGUACAGCUCGGGAAGAUGAAAUAUCUUACCUAAAGUCAGUAGUAUCAAGACUCGCAUUGGAAGAUGCUAAUAGAGUAACUUGAGAAGUGAUGGAUAAAAACUGAUUCAUCUCUCUGCCGCCAGAGCCUGUGUUGGUAACCCCCAUGCUAGACGCAGGACUCUCUAUAAGGCAGACUCUGAGUUGGGCGCCAAGAAUAGAAAGACUCACUCCCUGACCAAAAUGAGCUCUCAGUCUGACAAAAAAGAGACGUGGUUUGAAUAAGAAAGAAAACAAUGUUUGGGAUGUGGGUGAGGAGCAGAAGGAGGAAGACUGGGGUUGGGUCCUACACACUGUCACUCCGGGGCUACAGCAGGAGAAGGCCACUUGGAAGUCCCAUUUCAGUGAUGUGGCCAGCAGCAGAGUCCACUUAAGUAUGGGGCUGGAGAAGCAUAUAGAUGAAGGGACCACAUAACUCUCUAUGGACGCGGCUCAGGACAAGAGGGUGACUACAGUGGUCUCUAGAUCUACUGACUUACUUCCCCUUAUGGGCUCAUGCCAGUCACUCUGACUCAUGGCCCCUUGGCCUCUGGAAACUCACAGCAACCCAGUUUUCUGCCUGGGCCACUUGGUUUGGGGUAUGGUCAUCAUACAUACUAAGAUUACCAAUCAUGUUGACACUUUCAAAGCUUCCUGGGGAAUGAAAAAGCAGUGGUCUUGUGACAACGUGGUCACCUCAGUGAAGGUUCCACAGUUGACCAGAGGGACAAGGGCUUCCUCAUUUCACGGGAUGAGGUCUUAUUGUCCUGUUAAGCCAGGAGACCCCAUACCUAAAAGAACGUUGUCUUGGUCAGCAUUCCUACAAGAACAGAGACCAUGCUCCAACAGGGUCAUUUGGUUAAGAAGGAAACCUUGGGACUUGCACGGGUGGAAAAGCCAUUAUCAUCACAGGUUCUUAAGAGGGAAAGAAGAGGGGGAAUUUCCUGGAACCAAAAGGGUAGGUGUAGGGAGAGGACCUCCUGAGAAGAGGCCACAUUUGAUAAAGGAAAGCUCCGGAAACCCAGAGAGAACCAAAUAUCCCAAUUUCACUCUCCGGGCCUUCUGCUGAUGCCUCCCAUAGGCUGGAAUCAACUGGAAGCUAGAGAGCAAGGGCGCUCAUUGACGCGGUCCAUGUAUAUCAGUUUCUCCGGAUGCAGAAUGGUGAGAUUGACCUCAAGGCUUAUGGACACUUAUUGGCAUGGCUGGUUAUGGCUGGCUGAGAAUAGCUAUGCAAAGAGUGAUGAUUUCAGCAGAUACCUGCCACUUGGUAUAUACCUCGUGCUUUGAAAGCUUUUUCAGGGACUUCCUCAUUUGAUCCUCACAGUAGGCCCAUGAGGUGAGUACUCCCCUGGCCCCAUUUACAGACUGGGAAACGAGAGAAUACAGAGAUACUAAAUGGUAAACAGAGGAGUGUGGACUUGUAAGCCCAGAAGGUGUGAUUACCUGACCAGUGCCUUCAUCUACGGGACCAUCCCAUCUUAUCCAAAAUGAAAAUUUAUGAGUUAGGUCGUAAAGCAUUGCUAGAUUGGAGGGAGUGACUGCAACAGAGACCACAAGACAAGGAUGAAAUAUUUCUGUAAGCUCUCUUUGACUUAACUGAGGUGGCAUAUACACACUCCAUGUAAGAGAUAUUAAAGUGUAAACCAAGAGAAAAGGGAGAGAGAAACGCAAAAGCAGAGGAGAAAGAGAGAGAGAGAGCACCAGCUGCAUACAGGAUACAGGCCAAGAGUCUAAUUAUAGCUGAUAAGGCCCCUUAUGAUCUGUAACGUGCCCCUACUCAUCUUUCCCCAUUCCCUGUGGGGCACUGUGUCCCAGCCAAACUAAACUUUAUUUAGUUCUUUAAACAGCCCUCAGGUCACUGCCCAUGUUGUCCCUUCGGCCUGAAACACUUUCCCUUGCUUUCUAUUCACCCAUCGUAAGCCCUACUUAAUCCAUCAGGCCUUAGUUUUGUCUCUUCUUAAAUUUUUCUUUCCUCUCUCCCUCCCUCUGUCCUCCCUCCAACACACAUUUUUUGGACACAGUACGUUCAGGCACAGUGGUGGGUGUUGCUGACAUUGGUCCAUAUUGGUCCCUCCCUUAUGGAGUUUCUAUGAGAAAACGUUCCCUUCAUGCCCAAGUCUGGGUUGAGGGGCUCUCCUGGGUGUUUUCUCAGCAACCUGAACUAAUCCUAUUAUAGCCUCUUUACUCUGCAUUCUAGCACCCUGGGUCUAUCUCCUUUCCCAGACCCUAGGCUCCAAGGUUGAGGGUAUUAGUUUCCUAUUGUUGCUGUAACAAAUUACUGCAAACUCAGUGGCUUAAAGCAACCCAAAUUAAUGAUCCUAAGGGUUCUAGAGUUGAAAGUCCAACACAGCCCUCACUAUAUUAAAAUCAAGUUUUGUGGAGCCUAUGUUCCUUCCCAGAAGCUCUGGAAAGAGCAGAAUAUGUUUUGUUUGUUUGUUUCUUUAUUUGCCUUUUCCAACUAGAGGCUGCCUGCAUUUCUUGGCUGAUGGCCCUUUCCUCCUUCUUUAAAGCCAUCAAUGGCUGGCGGAAUCUUUCCACAUUGUAUCACUCUGACAGUGACUCUUUUUCCUCCUCUUCUGUCUUUUAAGGACCUUUGUGAUUAUAUUGGAUACAUAUCCAGCCCACCUGGAUAGUCCAGGCUAAUAUUCCUGUCUUAACGUCAGCUGAUUAGCCGUCCUAAAUCCAUCUGCAACCUCAAUUUCCUUUGCCAAGUAAGAUAAGAUACUCACAGAUUCUAACUUAGGUCAUGGACAUCUUUGGGAAACCAUUAUUCCGCCAAGCAUACUAUAUAUCCCCAAAUGCUAGUCCAAGGGAAAAAAUAGAAUAUCUCAGUAUGCAAGUGGUUUCUAUGUGUAUGGAAUAUAUAGAUCUCUAUAUGUGUCUACGGCAUGUGUCUCUGUGACAGUCAUCUGUGUCCUGGAUGUUCACUUGGGUGGAUGUGUUUGUGUGUGGGUCAGGAAGCAUACAUUGCCUGACCUCGUUAGUUGUGGUCCUAUGUAUUUAUGUAUGUGUUGGAAGGUAGGAAUUAUAAUUCCCAAAGGGGGAAUUAUAAAGAUAAACCAGGCAAUGAGUAAUAUUUUCCUGACAAUUCAACUGUAAAAUAGUUUACCCUCCAUGUGGAUACUUUGCUUUCAAGACCUGGAUUUCUAUGCUCUCAAUUGACAUGUGCUGGUUACCACAUUCAUAGAAAGGGUGGCAUCCUGCUUGAGCCAGGAAGCCCUUCUAGAAGAUCCUAUAUUAGCCAUCAUACAGCUAAGAGGCACAUUCAGUGCUGCCAGCAGUUAACAGAUCAGUCAAAUUAUUAUUUCUCAUCUUUGCUGCAGAAGUAACAGUUUCUGAUAUAGAACCUUGUUUGAAUCUCCAGGCCAGCCUUUACUGUGAAUCCAGGCACAUCGGAGCCUGAGCCCUUAGGGAUCAUCUGGCCCCUACCCUUCACUUCGGAGAUGGGACAAGGCCAAUAAGUGGGCAGUUUGUGCAGGUGUAUCCAGCCAUCCUGAGACUGAAAGAGAAUGGCAACCUCUACAGUAGUUAACAUCUUUCUGAAGUGACUGUCAGCUCCUAGAGGGCAAAAACUCUGCUUUAAGUGCUCCUGGAUUAUUAGGCUUCCUUAGAUCUUUCUGCUCCCCAGGUCUUUAUGUUCUAAGAGAUAAAACCCAGAGAAGGUACUUGUAGACACAGCCUCUUUAUUCCUGAGAGAUGGUUAUACUCAGAACUUGUCAUAUUUCUCACAUAGGAAUCUGGGCUGGACAAUCCAGAAAUCUCAAAGGAUGGUUUUCUCCUUUUUCCCCUGAAGCAUAGAAUGAAACAAGACCCAAGCUGUAGAUUCCCUGCUUAGGGUUUCCAGGUCCUGUCCUGACCCCGCUCAGACUUCCCAAGCAAAUAUGCCUUCUUCAUGUGUUCAAUCAACAAUGUGUAGGUGUCCCAAGUUGAGUCCCUAUGGUAGAUGUCAGGUACAUUGCAGUGAACAAAACAGGUGUAG